CAACUACUCCCUCUAUCCCAAAUUUCUUGUCUUAGAUUUGUCUAGAUACAGAUGUAUCUAAUACUAAAAUGUGACUUGAUACAUCCGUAUCUAGAAAAAUCUAAGACAAGAAUUUUGGGAUGGAGGGAGUAAUUU
rnacentral:pre_miRNA from 1 species